UACGUAGGUGGCAAGCGUUGUCCGGAAUUAUUGGGCGUAAAGCGCGCGCAGGUGGUUUCUUAAGUCUGAUGUGAAAGCCCACGGCUCAACCGUGGAGGGUCAUUGGAAACUGGGGAACUUGAGUGCAGAAGAGGAAAGUGGAAUUCCAAGUGUAGCGGUGAAAUGCGUAGAGAUUUGGAGGAACACCAGUGGCGAAGGCGACUUUCUGGUCUGUAACUGACACUGAGGCGCGAAAGCGUGGGGAGCGAUCCGG
rnacentral:rRNA from 1 species